GCUGUUAUUGGUUAGGAAAGCCCACGUUGGAAGAGGAUUUUGAGUUGCAUUCUCCCCUUCAGAAUAAAAUUGUUGCAUUAUUUCAGCAGCAAACAUUUCCCACCUCAAGUGAGACUGCUUUUGCUUAUUUUACUGUGAUAAAUACCUAAAAAGUUACGGCUGUGCUUUAUACCCCUGCCUCUUGGCUGAGUGUACAUUGCUGGCUUGGUACUUAAAUGUGCUCCUGGGAACGACUUGUAGCUCCGUGUGAGAGAGCUUGGAGGAGAAAGCUGGAACACUGUGUUUUGAGUCCAACUCUGCCACUGACUAGCUUGAGACCUGGCACGUCAUUUCGCCUCCUGGGCCUCCGCCCAGAUUAGGAUUGAAUUGGAUUAGGUGAUGUUAGAAGUUACCUUCUCAAUUACAGUUUCAUAAUUUCUGUAUGUUUGAGAUCUGCAGGGAAAGAAAAGGAUGACUUUCCAUUAUGUGAAAAGUUUCAAGCUAAGUCUUCCACAAUCCUCCAUGUUGACUAUCCAGCCAUAUAAUGAAGUGACAUCUGCCACCUAAUACGUGAGAACAAAGACCAUUUUUUUUCACCUUCCUAUCACUGACAGAGUCAAAGUAAAUUGAACUUAGAAUUGGUAAAUAAAUAUUUAUGAGGAACAUUGAACAUGGUGUUAGUUUUGAUUCCUGGAUCUGGUACUUAAUAUUUGUCACAUUUUUGAACUUCAUCUGUGAUGUGAAAGUAAUCAUACGUAGCCCAUCUCUCAGCCUGUGAAGAUUAAAUGAGAGCAUGAAUAUGAAAGUUCUUCAUAAAUUACAAGUCACCACACAAAUGCAAGGGGGCUGAUACAAAGCAAGUGGAUUGCUGGUGCCACUCACAAUGCGUUCACAGAGUCAUCACGUUUGGAACUAUCCCUUCGAAGGUUUUACUGAAAGGAAACUUGGGUGUUAUAAUGUCAUAAACAUCUGAGCUAGAAUUUCUAUCAACUGCGUUUUUAUAUAUGGGGAAAAGGGAGUCUAGAAAGGCUCAUUGCUCAAGAGCUUGUAACAGUUUAAAAGCAUGUCCUGCCCAUUGUCCUCUAGGACUAUAAAGCUGGAGGAGAAAAGCUGUCCAGGAUGACCAAGGGAAAGCUGAGACUCUCUUAAAUUUUUAAAAAUAAUGCUUUUGGCAAAUGCACUUGCUGUUCAGUGAUGAGUAACAUCUUGGGUCACAUGUGGCUGGCAAAAUAAAUUGCCUGCAUCCUGCCUCAUCACCUCUGUUAGGCAGUGAUAUCACACAGUGUAAAAAUGAGUGUUUUAUGCAGGAAGAGGACACUAACAUUUGUGUGCACCAUUCCGGAGUCUUUGCUGCUGGUGGAUGCUGUGAUAAUUACACACAAAUAUUCAUUCAGUCUGCCAACCAUUUCUUUGUAAUUGACAGUUUCUGACUCCUGGGCUCACUGGAGAAUUGUACACUUGGUGCAGACCAAUAAAAGCCGGGAACGGGUUUGUAUACAUUGCUCUGUCAGGCAGACACGGUUCUGGGAUGUUGGAGUCGUUCAUUACAGCCUUUGCUGCAUCAUCCCACACAACUCCAGCCGGGAUUCAGUUGCAUGAUGGAUUGUUUUUAAGCUUUUAAAGUAAGAUGGUUUGUACUCUGAGAUAAAAACUAGGAAUGUUAUGAAUUUCCGAUUCUAGCAAUGUUUUUCUUAGCCAUUUAGCAACAUGGAGAUUAAAAAAAUCUAUUUAAUCAGUAUUCAUAGGUUAAAACAAAUUAGUUACCUCUUUGAUUUUGCUCAAUUUUUGUAUUUGGAAUGAAUUUGAGAAAGACAGUACAGUAAUAGUAGAUGGUAAAAUGCAAACAGCUUCUGUCUCUAAAACAGGGAAGUCAGGGUUAGGAAUAUUUAGAGGUUACUUUUCCCCCUGAAGUUUUGAAUUCAAUAUCAUGUCAGAAACAGUCAACACAAUGUAUCAUUGCUAUUCAACAAAUGAAGCAGUCCCUGUUUACAAUAAAAACAUAUGGUAAUUUAGAAACUUCAAAACAUAUGCCAUAAACAUUCUGGAACUGAAAUAUUUGUCUGCAGUCUUGACUGAUCAGUUGCAUUUUAUAUGCUUUAUCAAAUCUUCCUUUUCCUAUGUGUCAGAAAAUAAAGACAAAAGAUACAAAUGAGUGCACCCCAUCAGUGGCAGGGAAAGAGAGGGAACUGAUGCCUUGAAACGCGCAAUUUCACACAUCCAUUUCUUCCCGCCUUUUAAAAAAUUUGGGUAAAUGAAAACUCUGUGGUUCUGACAAGUGUCUAAUUUUGUGAUAAGAGGUUUACUAAUUUUUUCAUUUAUUACUUGGUUAUAAUUUCAGCCCUACAUUCUCAUCUGUAUCUAGCAUGAGUUCUCAAAAUGGAUGCUCAUCAUGAAACCCCUUUCCCAGCAUGUGAACCCAAAUAGCAGGCCUAGGAACUAUUGUUGACAAUCAUUUUUUUUCCUUAUAGGGCCUGCCAUUUCCACUCUGUUUUUGUCAUAUACUGCCAAGUCCCCUUUGAACAGGAGAUAUUAUGACAGAGUGGCUGAGAGCAUUCACCUUAGAGACAAAGAGAUCUGCACUGACUUCUGUGUUCACUUCCUCUCUCUGGCCGUGAGGGCCUCAUCUGUAACAGCGUUCAUACUUCACAGGGUUAGUGUGAGCAUCACAUGAGUUAAUAUACAUCCUUAGCACUAUGUUUGCUUCACAUUAUUGAGAGCUAUGAUUGUAGUAUUUGCAAAUAAAAAGCAAGUUUUAAUUUUAAAGCAUUUUCUAAACUGUUUAAAAAGUUUCCCAAUGCUUUCAAUUUGACCCAGACUAUAUUUGGUCCCCUGACUUGACGAUCUCAAUCUACCUCUUGCUACUUCUGAAAUUGGCCCUUGGCUUCUUUUCCUGCCUAACCUCUCCCUGCCUCUUGUCCUUGUUUCCUCGAAAUGGAAAUCCUCCUUCUUUCUCCUAGUACCUGACAUGUUUUUGUUUAAGGCAGUUCAAGAUUGGUGCCUUUCAACGAGUUUGCCUGCUUGGUGCUUUUGGCAGUGACCACUUCUGACUUUGUAUCCCCUUAGCCCUUUCUUAUAGGCUCUGUUACUUCUUAUGUGCUUAUGUUUGUUAUAACUCUCUGAGAUUUGCUUGUGUAGAUUAUAAAUUUCAAAGGGCUACUAUUUUCUAUAUCAUACCUCUUAAAACAAUGCCAAAUUAUCUAUCUAUCAUCUAUCUAUCCAUCCAUCCAUCCACACACAAAUAUAUGGUGCUUAAUAAUUGCUUGUUAAACAAAAUAACUAUCACCAACAUGCCUCAUCUAGGAGUUAGAAUAAAAGAGUUUAGAUUUGGAGCUCUGGUUUUCAUUGUGCAUUGUUUUCCUUCUAUCUCUCUGCCUCACUAUUUCCAUAUGUGCUAUUUAAAGUGUUUUCAAUUAUGACUCUGUAGAAAUGCAUUUGAGGGCAUGUCACGUUACUUGAUUUUAAAUAUCUUAAAACUAAUAUGUAAGCACCAAAUUGUUGGUGAUUCCUCUGCCAUCAAACCUCAGAUGUUCACCAUCUAGACUGGGGUCAGCAAAUGUUUUCUGUUAAGGGCCAGGGUCAGAGAAUAAAUAUUUUAGAUUUUGAUGGCCACCCAUUGUCACAUAUUCUCUUUGUUUUUUUUUUUUUGUUUUACUUUCAACAACCCUAACAACACACAAUCCAAUUUUAGCUUAGUAUACAAAAAAACCGGCCUCAGGACACA
ensembl:lncRNA